rnacentral:rRNA from 1 species
GUCGAGAAUCUUCCGCAAUGCGCGAAAGCGUGACGGAGCGACACCGCGUGAUGGAUGAAGUCCUUCGGGGCGUAAACAUCUUUUAUAAAGGAGGAAAUUUUUGACGUUACUUUAUGAAUAAGGGGCUCCCAAUCUCGUGCCAGCAGGAGCGGUAAUACGAGAGCCUCAAGCGUUAUCCGGAAUCAUUGGGCGUAAAGGGUGCGUAGGUGGUUUGAUUAGUCUCCCGUUAAAACUUCGAGCUUAACUCGAAAAGAGCGGGGGAAACGGUCAAACUAGAGUAUGUGAGAGGUGUGUGGAACUCAUGGUGUAGGGGUGAAAUCCGUUGAUAUCAUGGGGAACCCCAAAAGCGAAGGCAGCACACUGGCACAUCACUGACACUGAGGCACGAAACCUAAGGUAGCGAAUGGGAUUAGAAACCCUAGUAGUCC